rnacentral:tRNA from 1 species
UAUAGCUUAGCUCAGUUGGUUAGAGCGUGGUGCUAAUAACGCCAAGGUCGCGAGUUCGACCCUCGUAGUGACCA